ACCUCGAGUAACUUGUAAGCAACUUGAAUUAUUUACAGCCCUAAUGAUAGAAUUAUAAUUUCACACACGCAUAUACAUUAUUGACAGAGAAAUAGAUAUAUCAUAUGAUGAGAAAGUUCAAGUGCAAAAGGAGCACAAAGCAAAUGAAUUAAUGCAUAAGAGGUGUACAGGUUACCCCUUAUAACCCACCUAAAUGCCCAGAGUUCCACUACAAUCAACCUAUUUUACAUCCAAUGUAGUCAUGAAUAUCCAACUACAAGAAUCAUCAAUAAAAGCUCCUUGAUUACUGGAUCUUCGUCACAGCAACUACAGGAUGAGGCACGUCCCUGUUCUCCAAGAUUCCGACACAAAACCAACAAGAGAAAAGUGAGAUAGCUGUAAUAAAAUGGAUCAAAUUCCUCCAAUUUCUACAUGUAAAAUCCAACUUAUAUUUGAAUGCAGGGUCAGGCCGGCCUUCCCAAUAGGUAUCAUAAAUGCAUAAAGAACUAUAGAAACAUGUAUAUCAGUGACUACUUUGUUGUCAGCUUUCUUAAUUUGUUCAAAUACAUUAUAGAAUGAGAAACACUAACAUUCCACAUCAUGAAUGACUACGUCGUGAUAGCUUUCAUUUUGGCUGUGAUAAGCCAUAAAAUUUUUGUAUUAAAGUUACAACUUACAAUAAUGUGGCUUCCAAUCACACUUUUUCAAGCAAUCUUCUUGCUUGACUUGUACAAUUCAGUUACUGCUUUUAAUGUUAAAUAUCUCCUCAAUAAUAUUUAAUGAUGGGAUGGCUUCUCUCUCUCUCUCUCUAUUUGCUCUUCUUAACAUUCCUAAAUAAAUUGGAGUACAUAUCCUGUGACGUUCUUUCAGCAUAAUGCACAAAUUGUUUAUCCUUUUCCUCUCAUAAAUCCUAGGUAAUUUAUUCUCAUUAUUUUGAUAAUGAAUUAUUAUAUAAUUUAUCUACUAGCAGUUUCACUUUUCACAGCUAUUAUAGUACAGUCAUUCAGUUUCCAAUUUGACCAACAGACCCAUAAACCACUAAGUUCAAGGAUAGUAACAGUUUCCAGUAUUUUGCAUCUUUGCAUUGUCAUCAACACUCACAUACCAUGCAAUGCAAACGAUAACUAGUUCCUUAUUCAAUCAUGGAAAAACCAUUUGAAGAUCAACAAAUUCAACCACUUUAACAACCUGAAACACCUAUCUGAUCAACUAAUUGGCACUCUCACAAUUUUUUACAGUAACCACACUUCUCCAUGUUUAAGCAAAAAUUUGCAUUCAUCUUAGCAGAACUUGCCCCUUUAAAGAUAAUAUGCAUUAUUUAAACCUUUCAACAGACUCAUUGAAUGGUGAUAAGCAUUACACCUAUUUUUUGUCUGAGGUGGUCCUACACUACCCUCUGGACAUGUGUCUACCUUUAUAAUCUCUUCUGCUAAGCCUUUUUAUGUCACCUGCAGUGUAAUGUGUAUAGCUACAUUACACUGUUCAACCUUAUGGCAUCCUUAAGAUUAUACAUGUCAUACUCUAGUUUGAACAAUCACACAAACACCCCCAGAAUAGAUAUUCUAGUAUGCAAUUAAUUUUUUUGCUCAACGGUGUUACUGUUUGUUUUGCCAUUCUAGUAUUAGCUGAGCAUAUUAUGAAUCCGAGCUUGCAAAAUUUGGGAAGCUUUUAUAGUCCUAAAAGUGCAUAUACUCAAAUUGAGUAUCUAACUCAGAUACACAACCAUGGUCAACUGUCAUGAAAGCUGACAGCACUAAUAUUAUUAAAAAAAGCAAACCAAUAUUUUGCAAACUGAAGAGUUUAUGCUCUUAUUAAAUUCAAUGUCAAACCUGAACUCAAAAAUUAUCAACUUGAUGGAUAAACAAUUUAUUUGUCAUGAAAUUUGUUCUCAUUACAUCAGGUUUUCUAGAAACAUCUCAUUCGUUUUCCUAUUGCCUAACUUUCUGAUAAAAGAGAUAUCUACAUGAGAAUUAUCCCUUUAUGAAACAACAAGAAUAAGCUUCCUCAGGAAGAGGGGUGAAAAUUUACCUGAGGCAACCUAAAAAAUACAAGCAAGA
rnacentral:misc_RNA from 1 species